AGAGUUUGAUCCUGGCUCAGGAACAACGCUGGAUGCGUGCUUAACACAUGCAAGUCGAACGGUAAGGCCCCAGCUUGCUGGGGUACACGAGUGGCCAACGGGUGAGUUCACGUGGGUGACCUGGCCCGCACUUCGGGAUAAGCCUGGGAAACUGGGUCUAAUACCGGAUAGGACCGCACCGUGAGGGUGUGGUGGAAAGUUUUUCGGUGUGGGAUGGGCCCGCGGCCUAUCAGCUUGUUGGUGGGGUAAUGGCCUACCAAGGCGGCGACGGGUAGCCGGCCUGAGAGGGUGGACGGCCACAUUGGGACUGAGACACGGCCCAGACUCCUACGGGUAGGCAGCAGUGGGGAAUAUUGCACAAUGGGCGGAAGCCUGAUGCAGCGACGCCGCGUGGGGGAUGACGGCCUUCGGGUUGUAAACUCCUUUCACCAUCGACGAAGGUUUUCUGACGGUAGAUGGAGAAGAAGCACCGGCUAACUACGUGCCAGCAGCCGCGGUAAUACGUAGGGUGCGAGCGUCGUCCGGAAUUACUGGGCGUAAAGAGCUCGUAGGUGGUUUGUCGCGUCGUCUGUGAAAUUCCGGGGCUUAACUCCGGGCGUGCAGGCGAUACGGGCAUAACUUGAGUACUGUAGGGGAGACUGGAAUCCCUGAUGUAGCGGUGAAGGCGCAGAUAUCAGGACGAACACCGGUGGCGAGCCGGGUCUCUGGGCAGUAACUGACGCUGAGGAGCGAAAGCAUGGGUAGCGAACAGGAUUAGAUACACUGGUAGUCCGUGCCGUAAACGGUGGGCGCUAGGUGUAGGGGUCUUCCACGACUUCUGUGCCGUAGCUAACGCAUUAAGCGCCCCGCCUGGGGAGUACGGCCGCAAGGCUAAAACUCAAAGGAAUUGACGGGGGCCCGCACAAGCGGCGGAGCAUGUGGAUUAAUUCGAUGCAACGCGAAGAACCUUACCUGGGCUUGACAUAUACGGGACCGGGCCAGAGAUGGUCCUUCCCUUGUGGCUCGUAUACAGGUGGUGCAUGGUUGUCGUCAGCUCGUGUCGUGAGAUGUUGGGUUAAGUCCCGCAACGAGCGCAACCCUUGUCUUAUGUUGCCAGCACGUAAUGGUGGGGACUCGUGAGAAACUGCCGGGGUCAACUCGGAGGAAGGUGGGGAUGACGUCAAAUCAUCAUGCCCCUUAUGUCCAGGGCUUCACACAUGCUACAAUGGUCGGUACAGUGGGUUGCGAUGCCGUGAGGCGGAGCUAAUCCCUGAAAGCCGGUCUCAGUUCGGAUCGGGGUCUGCAACUCGACCCCGUGAAGUCGGAGUCGCUAGUAAUCGCAGAUCAGCAACGCUGCGGUGAAUACGUUCCCGGGCCCCUUGUACACACCGCCC
rnacentral:rRNA from 1 species